GCCGCUCUAGCCCAACUGGCAGGAGGCGCCGCACUCAGGUCGCGGACAGUCAGGGUUCGACUCCCUGGAGCGGUA
rnacentral:tRNA from 1 species